UAUCUUCUGAGCAGGAGAAACUUCGUAGUAUGUUAAAAGAUGUGCUGAAGAAUCGGCCUAAUGUGGAUGUGGUGAAACUUCAAAAGUCUAAGGAAUGCAAAAAUACAUCAGAAAUCCAGAGGCUACAGAAUACGGGAAGGAGGGCAAGGGCUCUUGCCUGUAUUGGUGUUGAGCCUGGAAGAAAGCGAAAAGAAGAGGAGGCCUACGAUUGUUUUCCUGCAUAGCACGGACAAAUGCAAAGAGUGGUUGAGGCCAUUGCUUGAGGGAUUUGUUUCAAGGGGAGAUAUCGCUGUUGCAAUUGAUUCUCGAUACCAGGGAGAACGUGCAACCAGCUUGACAACCUAUCGAGAUGCCCUAGAGUUGUCAUGGAAAAAUGAUGAUACAAUGCCGUUCAUAUUUGAUACGGUCAGCUUGGAUGAUGAUAAGAAGCAAAAGACAAAAGGAUGAAUUCAUGAAGAAAUUGUGGAGCAAGCAUAUAUCCUUCGAAAUAUCAUUUAUGGUAUGGAGGGUACUAAAAAGGAGGAUUCCUUUUAAUGAGAUCCUGAACCAGCAUAGGAGUCCUUAGAAUAAAUUGAAGUCAAGCUGCUGCUGCUGCACAGUGCCUCAGCCAGAAACAAUUCAGCAUGUAUUUGUAGAGAGUGAAGCUCCAAAGCAGAUAUGGUACUAUUAUGGAAGACCUCUAGGUAUGGUACAUCAGGUCAUGUCCAUCAAGGAACUGCUGAACAGAUGGUGGAAUAUGAAUUGCAAAAAUCAAGUGCACAGAAUGAUAAUUCAAACUGUUCCUCUGAUGAUAAUAUCGGAGAUAUGGAAAAGUUGGUGCUCUUAUAAACAUGGGGAGCAAAAGAGGUUCUUGUAUAGUAGGAUGAUAUACCAAAUUCUGUAGAAUAUUAAAUCAGCUGUUGGUUUAGCUAUCCAAAACUGUGACUGGGCUAUGCCUUGGAUUAGGUUGUGUGCUACAGUAGAAAGACUGAAGCCUGUUUUAAAUGGAAGAAGGUAUGCUGGGAAAAACCACCAAUGGGUAAAGGUAAAUACAGUUGGGAGCUUUAUACAGGGGAGUGGAGAAGCUGGGAUUGGUGGACUUGUUAGAUAUGAUCAGGGAAACUUUAUCAUGGCUUUCCACAAGUUAACUGUAAGAGCAACAAUGAAGGAUCUAUCAAUGGCAACGAAAGGACGUGAAAUGAAAUUGUAUUUGGUUUCUACUUUUAGUUGGAAAACGAAGAGCUUGAUGGGCUGAAGUGUUUUUUAUCUUUGUAACUUCAUCGUUUUCCUUUUUUGAAACAAAUAAAAAUUAUGAAAAUUUUCCAUAUGAACCAAAACAAUGAAAAUUUUCAGUAUGAAUUUGAUAAACUUUUCAUGACAGCAAACUUUUUUAGGCACUGAAAGUG